UACAGAGGGGGCAAGCGUUGUUCGGAUUUACUGGGCGUAAAGCGCACGUAGGCGGAUCUUUAAGUCAGAGGUGAAAUCCCAAGGCUCAACCUUGGAACUGCCUUUGAUACUGGGGAUCUUGAGUCCGGGAGAGGUGAGUGGAACUGCGAGUGUAGAGGUGAAAUUCGUAGAUAUUCGCAAGAACACCAGUGGCGAAGGCGGCUCACUGGCCCGGUACUGACGCUGAGGUGCGAAAGCGUGGGGAGCAAACAGGG
rnacentral:rRNA from 1 species